GCGAGGAGGUCGGGUGGCACCGCUGCCUCGGGGCCGUCUGCUUACGGCAGUCUUCCCCACACCUGUCCGCCGUUCGGGCUGUGCCACUGCGGGAGCCCUGGGGUCGGGUCGCUCACUCGGAGGGCUCAGCCAGGUUCGCAGGAAGAGUUAUGAGUGUGCUUGGAAAAGACCCUGAGUGGGGCAGGGAGCAGAACCUACAGAAGGUGGCUGAGGAUCUGAAAUGCUAAAAAACACAAACUAUGGGAAAGCUGCGGGGGGAGGAUUCAGAACCAUCACCAAAGUGCAGGAUGCAAAGCACAGUCUGGGAUCUGUUUCUUGUCACACUCCACAAACUCCUCCAUGGGUUUGGUGCUACUACUGUAAUUCAAGUCUUACCAAAUCAGAAACUUAUCUGUGCCAUGAAGUCAUUUACCGCUUGAAUAUAUAUGCUUGUAUACAUACUUCUAAGCAGGAAUCUCAAAAGAGGAAACAGUGCUGAAUUUAGGUAAGCAAUAUGAUAUGUCUUUCAGGCAUGUGCGAAAUCUCACUCUGCACGGACCCUGUGGCUGGAAGGCAGUGUGCUGUUAGCGGCUGCUGUGCUGAAUGGAGCAGUCACUACCACACUGCCACCUGCUGCAGGGAUAGACUACUGCUGUUUGGAGGUGGGCAUUUUGGUCGGAGUUAGCGUUCUGAUUUCCAGCAGUGCAGGGAGUGCCUCUGUGUGCGGUGGGGUGGCAGUGUAUGUUAGCUGGUUGAAACUCUUGACAUCAGCUAACAUGCAGUUGCUAACCUGCUCCACAUACCUUUAGCAUCAAACUGGAGAGCUACUACUUUUACGUGUAGAGUCUUUUGCAUCAUCUUGAUUGAUUUUGUUUUGUUUUUAAUUUUGCAUGUAUUGCUUGGCUCACUUUUGGAAUAAUACUUGUAUUUUGUAUUCCUGUUAUUCAAAGAACUGAGAGAAUUUUUGACUGAUUCAACCAACUUCAAACUCUCUGAAAGUUUUCUUAAAGCUGAAGAAUCACAACUAAAAGCUAUAUGAUUUUGAAAA